UCAUCUUCGGGGGUAGAGCACUGUUUCGGCUAGGGGGUCAUCCCGACUUACCAACCCGAUGCAAACUACGAAUACCGAAGAAUGUUAUCACGGGAGACACACGGCGGGUGCUAACGUCCGUCGUGAAGAGGGAAACAACCCAGACCGCCAGCUAAGGUCCCAAAGUCAUGGUUAAGUGGGAAACGAUGUGGGAAGGCACAGACAGCCAGGAUGUUGGCUUAGAAGCAGCCAUCAUUUAAAGAAAGCGUAAUAGCUCACUGGUCGAGUCGGCCUGCGCGGAAGAUGUAACGGGGCUAAACCAUGCACCGAAGCUGCGGCAGCGACACUAUGUGUUGUUGGGUAGGGGAGCGUUCUGUAAGCCUGCGAAGGUGACCUGUGAGGGUUGCUGGAGGUAUCAGAAGUGCGAAUGCUGACAUAAGUAACGAUAAAGCGGGUGAAAAGCCCGCUCGCCGGAAGACCAAGGGUUCCUGUCCAACGUUAAUCGGGGCAGGGUGAGUCGACCCCUAAGGCGAGGCCGAAAGGCGUAGUCGAUGGGAAACAGGUUAAUAUUCCUGUACUUGGUGUUACUGCGAAGGGGGGACGGAGAAGGCUAUGUUAGCCGGGCGACGGUUGUCCCGGUUUAAGCAUGUAGGCUGGUUGUCCAGGCAAAUCCGGAUAAUCAAGGCUGAGGUGUGAUGACGAGGCACUACGGUGCUGAAGUAACAAAUGCCCUGCUUCCAGGAAAAGCCUCUAAGCAUCAGGUAACAUCAAAUCGUACCCCAAACCGACACAGGUGGUCAGGUAGAGAAUACCAAGGCGCUUGAGAGAACUCGGGUGAAGGAACUAGGCAAAAUGGUGCCGUAACUUCGGGAGAAGGCACGCUGGUGUGUAGGUGAAGCCCCUGCGGGUGGAGCUGAGACCAGUCGAAGAUACCAGCUGGCUGCAACUGUUUAUUAAAAACACAGCACUGUGCAAACACGAAAGU
rnacentral:rRNA from 1 species